CAUAUCAAUAAGCGGAGGAAAAGAAACCAACAGGGAUUGCCCUAGUAACGGCGAGUGAAGCGGCAACAGCUCAAAUUUGAAAUCUGGCUCUUUUAGAGUCCGAGUUGUAAUUUGCAGAGGGCGCUUUGGCGUUGGCAGCGGUCCAAGUUCUUUGGAACAGGACGUCACAGAGGGUGAGAAUCCCGUACGUGGUCGCUAUCCUUCGCCGUGUAAAGCCCCUUCGACGAGUCGAGUUGUUUGGGAAUGCAGCUCUAAAUGGGAGGUAAAUUUCUUCUAAAGCUAAAUACUGGCCAGAGACCGAUAGCGCACAAGUAGAGUGAUCGAAAGAUGAAAAGCACUUUGGAAAGAGAGUCAAAUAGCACGUGAAAUUGUUGAAAGGGAAGCGCUUGCAGCCAGACUUGCCUGUAGUUGCUUAUCUGGACUUUUGUCCAGUGCACUCUUCUAUAGGCAGGCCAGCAUCAGUUUGGGCGGUUAGAUAAAGGUCUCUGUCAUGUACCUCUCUUCGGGGAGGCCUUAUAGGGGAGACGACAUGUAACCAGCCUGGACUGAGGUCCGCGCAUCUGCUAGGAUGCUGGCGUAAUGGCUGUAAGCGGCCCGUCUUGAAACACGGACCAAGGAGUCUAACAUCUAUGCGAGUGUUUGGGUGUCAAGCCCAGACGCGUAAUGAAAGUGAACGGAGGUAGGAACCCUUUGGGUGCACUAUCGACCGAUCCUGAUGUCUUCGGAAGGAUUUGAGUAAGAGCAUGGCUGUUGGGACCCGAAAGAUGGUGAACUAUGCUUGAAUAGGGUGAAGCCAGAGGAAACUCUGGUGGAGGCUCGCAGCGGUUCUGACGUGCAAAUCGAUCGUCAAAUUUGGGCAUAGGGGCGAAAGACUAAUCGA
rnacentral:rRNA from 1 species